CGAACGUUAGCGGCACGCUUAACACAUGCAAGUCGAGCGAGAACGGGCUUCGGCCUUAUUACAGCGGCGCACGGGUGAGUAACACGUAGGCAAUCUACCCUCGAGUGGUGGAUAACCUCCCGAAAGGGAAGCUAAUACAGCAUAAGACCACCAGCCUUCGGGCGAGUGGCCAAAGCGGAGGACCUCUUCGGAGGCUUCGCGCUUGAGGAUGAGCCUGCGGCCCAUCAGCUUGUUGGUAGUGUAACGGACUACCAAGGCUAAGACGGGUAGCUGGUCUGAGAGGAUGAACAGCCACACUGGAACUGAGACACGGUCCAGACUCCUACGGGAGGCAGCAGUGGGGAAUCUUGCGCAAUGGGCGAAAGCCUGACGCAGCGAUGCCGCGUGAGCGAUGAAGGCCUUCGGGUUGUAAAGCUCUGUGGAUGGAGAAGAAUAAGCUGUAGUUAAUACCUGCAGUGAUGACGGUAUCCAUUUAGCAAGCACCGGCUAACUCUGUGCCAGCAGCCGCGGUAAG
rnacentral:rRNA from 1 species